UUGACCUCAAAUCAGGUAGGACUACCCGCUGAACUUAAGCAUAUCAAUAAGCGGAGGAAAAGAAACUAACAAGGAUUCCCCUAGUAACUGCGAGUGAAGCGGGAAAAGCUCAAAUUUAAAAUCUGGCAGUC
rnacentral:rRNA from 1 species